rfam:Asian citrus Psyllid, Diaphorina citri - Florida Strain, whole genome shotgun sequence.
GCCUAGUUAGCUUAGUUGGUAGUGCGUCUGCAUUGUAAGCGCUAGGCCGCGGGUUCGAUUCCCGCCCGGGGCG